CAAGUUGUGCCAAUACCAACCAAUCAGAGUAGUGGACACAACAGGGUCCAAAAGGGCCAUCGAAGGCUAGCUAUUAUCUACUACGUCCGUAUUUAUGUAUAUAUAACAGAGAGAGAGAGGAAUUUCCUUCAAGCUGUGUGCUCCACUGUUCU